CAAUAGCGUAUAUUAAAGUUGUUGCAGUUAAAAAGCUCGUAGUUGGAUUUGUGGCGUACGGUGUGUUCCGGGCACUUGUUGUCUGAGUAACCUGCUGUUGCCAUCCUUGGGUGGAACCUGUGUGGCAUUAGGUUGUCGUGCAGGGGAUGCCCAUCAUUUACUGUGAAAAAAUUAGAGUGUUCAAAGCAGGCUUAUGCCGUUGAAUAUAUUAGCAUGGAAUAAUGAGAUAGGACUUUUUUGCUAUUUUGUUGGUUUGCGCAAAGAGGUAAUGAUUAAUAGGGACAGUUGGGGGUAUUCGUAUUCCAUUGUCAGAGGUGAAAUUCUUGGAUUUUUGGAAGACGAACUACUGCGAAAGCAUUGACCAAGGAUGUUUUCAUGAA
rnacentral:rRNA from 1 species